GAUGAAGAACGUAGCGAAAUGCGAUAAGUAAUGUGAAUUGCAGAAUUCAGUGAAUCAUCGAAUCUUUGAACGCACAUUGCGCCCGCUAGUAUUCUGGCGGGCAUGCCUGUCCGAGCGUCAUUUCAACCCUCAAGCCCCCGGGCUUGGUGUUGGGGAUCGGCGAGCCUCCGCGCCCGCCGUCCCCUAAAUCUAGUGGCGGUCUCGCUGUAGCUUCCUCUGCGUAGUAGCACACCUCGCACUGGGAAACAGCGCGGCCACGCCGUUAGACCCCCAACUUCUGAACGUUUGACCUCGGAUCAGGUAGGAAUACCCGCUGAACUUAAGCAUAUCAAUAAGCGGAGGA
rnacentral:misc_RNA from 1 species